GGGGUUGUGGCUCAGCGGUAGAGUGUUCGUCUAGCAUACACAGAUUCUAUCUGGGUUCUAUCCUCAGCACCACA
rnacentral:tRNA from 1 species